GUGUGUGUGUGUGUGUGUGUGUGUGUGUGUGUGUGUGUGUGUUACUACAGGCACACCCUCCUCCAUCUGGAUCACACACCAACCCUUACAUAACGCCGUCCCCACCCCUGCGCUGCAAAACAAAGGCUUCCUGCCAGCAGAAACAGCAGCCGAGUGUUUGUUUACACGAUGAGCGGGAACGCGUCUGUUUUUAUUUACACGUAAACAACCACGACAACAACGCCUCCUGACACAAAGAAAUCACUGUGUUUCACUGGUGAACCUGCAGAUGGGUUUUCUGUUUCAUCUGUUUCAUCACCUGAUCGACUCGUUACCGAACACAACAAGAGUAAACAAACAAAUAAACCUGUGAAUUACACUUUAAACUCUGGAUUAAUCCGGAUUAAUUGGUUUGUUUUCGUGCUUCGGCUCAUUUCGUGAAGAGAAAAGAGUAAAAAGUUGCAAGUGGAGGAUGAGGAGUUGGUUCUGCAGCUGCCGGCUGAUUGUUUCUGUGCAGCGACGUGUUCAGCAUGUUGAGCCACAACCUGCAGCUCGCUGCUGUUAAUGAUGCAUAAAGAGAGGAAGAGGAGGCAGCUUUACGUCUGUGUCACCUCUGAUCAGGAGAAGAGGAAGAGGAGGAGGAGGAGGAGGAUUCACCAUGAAGCUGAAAUAUUGAUCUCCACAGCAGGAGGCUGCGUGGGCGCAGACCUACAGAGGAGCAAGACGAUGAAGAGCGUUAAAGCUCCGGGGUGGUGGUAGCAGAGAGUCGUUCAGUAAAUCAAACAUUUAGGCUUGUUUCUGUUUUCACAGAAGAUACGAAGCUAAAUAUUUAGCAAAUAAAUAAUAAAAAGGUUUUCAUCCACAUAAAAACAACUCAGAUCACUGCAGUGACUCUUCCAGGCCUGUAGGUGGCGCUGUGACACGAGCAGAUCACAUCAGCAACAAAAGUUACAAGGUUUCAAAUUAAAUAAAACUAAUUUACAGCAAGAAAUUUAAAUAAGGUUAAAUGUCUAUAUAAUUAUAUUUUUAUUUAGCAUUUUACCGCUACAAACAAAAACAGGAAACAAGGAGCGCCGCGUGAAACUGCACUCAUGACCACUAAAUCCAACAUCCCGUCUGACACGCUGCUACAGAAAUAAACUUUCAUUUUUGUCACUUUUUAUCCAGUCACACACAUUAGCAGCUGCGUGUUAUUAACUCGCGUUGCUAAUAGCUAGCUUGGUUAGCUUAGCCACUUAGCACAAACCAUUCUUUUACAGUUUGUGAACAGAAGGCGCUAAAGUCAAAUCUGAGUGCUGGGUAACGAAACAUACAGUUUGCAGGUUGGGUUGGAGGCGGGGCUAUGACAUUGUUUUCAAAAGGUUGUGUUUUGGCUGUCUACACAAAAACAAAACGUUGGCGUUGCAAUAAAUAUAUAUAUUUUCUGGCAUAUUUUCAUUUCUUGGGUAGAUUAAAUCUAAGAUGGGAGAGAUACGCAAAAUGUACGAAACGACCAGGUCUGAACCGUACGAUUUGUCCAUCUGAAUGACAGUUCGUUACUGAGGAGAGGAUCAAAACAGGAAGUCAAACUACCACUAGCUUAGCUUAGCUUAGCUUAGCUUAACGGCUGGAAACAGCAGAAACGUCCUCUGCUGCUGAUUCAGUUGUUUUGUGUUUUUAAGCUGGUUGCAGUUGCCAGGCAACCGUCAAAUUCACCAGGAAGUAGCCCGUCCCGAUCGCUCAUCACUGAUAACAGAUAAAACUCACAACUUUCACUUUCAGGAUGAACCCAACAACCGUUCCAGUUCCAUCUGGUCCAUCUGGACCCACCAGGCUGCGGGUUUCAGGUCCAACAUGAAGGAACUCGUCCCCGACACGCCGCCGGAAAAAAAUCACUUUGAUGCAGAGAAGAUUUACUUUACAGGCCGAAGAAAAAAACUUCACAAAUUCAUGAACGAGAGCAGAACCUUCAGAACCAGAGAAACCCGGUGACACAGAACCAAAGUUCAGCUCAGACACAAGCAGACUGAAAGCAGAAGCCGGACCGUACCUGAUCAGAGGAAGAGGAGUGAAACCGGUUUCCUGCCAGUUCAGACUCGCUCACGGAGAACCCCCCAACAUUCCUGACCCACAAGAACCGCAGAACCUCCCGGUCCGUCCAUCUUCUCACACAGCUGCGUCUGAGCGCUCCUCUCUGUCCUUCGUCACUGCAGCUCCCCCCUCCUCCUCCUCCUCCUCCUCCUCCUCCUGGGUUUAAUCCAUCCUCUAACGAGGGAGAACCUCCCAGCUCGACUUCCCCGGGUCCAACAGAACCGCUGAGAACAGCUCAGCUCUUUCCUCCUCAGCGACCUGAGAUUAGCUGCUAACAUACAUGUGGAUAUAAAUACUGCUCAAUCUGCAGCCGACCAAUCAGAGCGCAGCGCAGGAGGCAAACAGCCGAAGCUGCAAACAGCCGAAGCUGUUUGUCAACAAACAUUCUGUCACUCAGAGAACUUCGGCUGCUUUUCUUUACGUCACAAACUUUGAAAUAAAAAAUAAUAUUCCUCAGGUUCUGAUGGAGCUCAUCUGAACCCAGUCCAGACCUGGUCCACAUUGGUUAAUCAAUUAGCUGUUCUGGACUGAGACCUGUUUGAAGGUCCCAUCAACAAACCAGGACCAGGAUCAAAACCAGAAACUAACCAGGAAAAACCAGUGAGGAAUGGACCCAGCAAAGAAACUCCGCCCACAUUUACCAGAUGACCUGUCUGAUCCCUGACUCCGCCCACAGUUACCUGAUGACCUGUCUGAUCCCUGACUCCGCCCACAGUUACCUGAUGACCUGUCUUAUCCCUGACUCCGCCCACAGUUACCCGAUGACCUGUCUGAUCCCUGACUCCGCCCACAGUUACCUGAUGACCUGUCUUAUCCCUGACUCCGACCACAUUUACCCGAUCACCUGUCUGAUCCCUGACUCCGCCCACAGUUACGUAUAUAAAACCAACUGAAUUGCAGCCAUUCUUCUGUUGCUGAAGACAGAUAUUUUGCUAACAGAGACACAAAAGCUUCAACCAUGACUGUCUGCUUUCAGCUGUAGCUGUUAGCAAUCAAAAGCAGCUGAAAGGAAUAAAAGCUGUUCAGCUAUUUCAGCCGAAGUGUCGUCAGGUCUUUAUUUUUAAAGACUCUGAUGGUUUUUGGUUUCCUUGUUGUUGAAUAAAAACAGCAGCUGUGAUUGGCUAAA